rnacentral:rRNA from 1 species
UACGUAGGGUGCAAGCGUUGUCCGGAAUUAUUGGGCGUAAAGAGCUCGUAGGCGGUGUGUCACGUCGGCCGUGAAAACCUGGGGCUUAACUCUGGGCGUGCGGUCGAUACGGGCAUCACUAGAGUUCGGCAGGGGAGACUGGAAUUCCUGGUGUAGCGGUGAAAUGCGCAGAUAUCAGGAGGAACACCGGUGGCGAAGGCGGGUCUCUGGGCCGAUACUGACGCUGAGGAGCGAAAGCGUGGGGAGCAAACAGG